rnacentral:rRNA from 1 species
UACAGAGGGGGCAAGCGUUGCUCGGAAUUACUGGGCGUAAAGGGCGCGUAGGCGGGAUGGCAAGUCGGUCGUGAAAUCCUUCGGCUCAACCGAAGAACGUCGGCCGAUACUGCCGUUCUUGAGGGAUGCAGAGGAGAUUGGAAUUCCCGGUGUAGCGGUGAAAUGUGUAGAGAUCGGGAGGAACACCGGUGGCGAAGGCGGGUCUCUGGGCAUCUCCUGACGCUGAGGCGCGAAAGCGCGGGGAGCGAACAGG